ACGAACGCUGGCGGCGUGCUUAACACAUGCAAGUCGAACGGAAAGGCCCUGCUUUUGUGGGGUGCUCGAGUGGCGAACGGGUGAGUAACACGUGAGUAACCUGCCCUUGACUUUGGGAUAACUUCAGGAAACUGGGGCUAAUACCGGAUAGGAGCUCCUGCUGCAUGGUGGGGGUUGGAAAGUUUCGGCGGUUGGGGAUGGACUCGCGGCUUAUCAGCUUGUUGGUGGGGUAGUGGCUUACCAAGGCUUUGACGGGUAGCCGGCCUGAGAGGGUGACCGGCCACAUUGGGACUGAGAUACGGCCCAGACUCCUACGGGAGGCAGCAGUGGGGAAUAUUGCACAAUGGGCGGAAGCCUGAUGCAGCAACGCCGCGUGCGGGAUGACGGCCUUCGGGUUGUAAACCGCUUUCACCUGUGACGAAGCGUGAGUGACGGUAAUGGGUAAAGAAGCACCGGCUAACUACGUG
rnacentral:rRNA from 1 species